rnacentral:lncRNA from 1 species
GUUUGGCGGGGCCUUUGUCUCUCGCUGGUGCUGGUGCAGGAGCUUGGGAUGCAUCUCCUCUUUUGCCUCCUCCACCUUGGGAAAUCCGGACAACUCCCUCACAGCCCCUGUUGCCCUGUGAUCUGUAGGUCCUUGGGGACGCAUAGUUAAGGUGCU